GAUGAACGCUGGCGGCGUGCUUAACACAUGCAAGUCGAACGGAAAGGCUCCUGCUUGCAGGGGUACUCGAGUGGCGAACGGGUGAGUAACACGUGGGUGAUCUGCCCUGCACUUCGGGAUAAGCCUGGGAAACUGGGUCUAAUACCGGAUAGGACGAUGGUUUGGAUGCCAUUGUGGAAAGUUUUUUCGGUGUGGGAUGGGCUCGCGGCCUAUCAGCUUGUUGGUGGGGUAAUGGCCUACCAAGGCGUCGACGGGUAGCCGGCCUUAGAGGGUGUACGGCCACAUUGGGACUGAGAUACGGCCCAGACUCCUACGGGAGGCAGCAGUGGGGAAUAUUGCACAAUGGGCGCAAGCCGGAUGCAGCGACGCCGCGUGGGGGAUGACGGCCUUCGGGUUGUAAACUCCUUUCGCUAGGGACGAAGCGCAAGUGACGGUACCUGGAGAAGAAGCACCGGCUAACUACGUG
rnacentral:rRNA from 1 species